rnacentral:rRNA from 1 species
UAAGGAAUAUUGGUCAAUGGACGCAAGUCUGAACCAGCCAUGCCGCGUGAAGGAUGAAGGUCCUCUGGAUUGUAAACUUCUUUUAUCUGGGACGAAAACGGGAUUUUUAUCUCAAUUGACGGUACCAGAGGAAUAAGCACCGGCUAACUCCGUGCCAGCAGCCGCGGUAAUACGGAGGGUGCGAGCGUUAUCCGGAUUUACUGGGUUUAAAGGGUGCGUAGGUGGGCUUAUAAGUCAGUGGUGAAAUCUCCGGGCUUAACUUGGAAACUGCCGUUGAUACUAUAGGUCUUGAAUUAUCUGGAGGUAAGCGGAAUAUGUCAUGUAGCGGUGAAAUGCUUAGAUAUGACAUAGAACACCAAUUGCGAAGGCAGCUUACUACAUAUAAAUUGACGCUGAGGCACGAAAGCGUGGGGAUCAAACA